rnacentral:lncRNA from 1 species
GGGAAAUAGUGGAAGAAAGGACAUUGGGUGUUUGUCCCGUCCUUCUGAAACCACAGGAAGGCUUCGGGCAACUACUAGUGCUUCAGUAUCUUUGCCUUCAUUAAAAAGGAGGCUAAUCAGCUCAGUAGAACAGUCUGAUAUAUGUACACACAGACACACGUUUUUAUUCCAGGCCUGGCUAGGCAGCCUUAGCUUAAAGAAUCUGAGAGAAAAUUCGAUGAACAACAUUGGUUAACUGCAUGGUGAAAACACAUCCUCAAUCUCCUGCUUCCCGUCUGUCAGACUGUUGGACGACUUCAAGCCAGCUGACCAAAGUUCUUCUUUUUCCUAAUACCUGGCGAAGAGAGCAGUGGUCCAGUACCAGAACAGAAUUUCCUUGGCUUGGAAGGCAGAAAGGAAGAAUGCGUCAUCAGGAGUUGGAGGCCUCCUUGAACUGUAGCUCAGAAGUGUGGGACUAGUGUCAUUCAUACCAGCUGAGGACUGAGAGCUCCCCAGGAAUUUUCCUUAAAAUAAACCAAAAACCAACGCUGUCUUCAAUGGAGAGAUACGC